GUUCACUACCGUGUAGGUAGCUUAAAAU
rnacentral:other from 1 species